GCAUGGGCACUUGUUUUCAAAGCAGACAGGUAGAUUACAACCACCCGGUUUUGCGGUGACCGACCGAGUGUGCCAUGCCUCCGCGACUGUGAACCCAAGACGGAGAGUAGUGCCAUUACCUGGUGAACCAGAGCUACCUGGGAUCAUCUAAGGUGACCCGAACCUUUUGGAGAGAGAUGCACGGUAGCCCUGGACAUCAGCGGCCUGGCCACACACUAUGCUAACUGUGGUGCGGUGGGGAGGGUGGCUGGCCCCAGUGGCCCUGGUGGUCCUGACGGCUCUGACCCUGCUGACCUGCGUCCUGCGCAAGCGCCGUGCGGAGGGCAGCUACCAGCCGAGCCACGAGGAGAAGAAGCAGGCGCGCCACCAGAACCAGAACCCGAGCCAGCACCUGCAGCACGGGCCCGAGAGACCCGGCCUGGCACUGCCCCUGCCCAAGGAGGAGCGCCUCAUCUGACCAAUCGGUGAGAGAGGCGCGAGAGAUGGGCAAUCAGACUGACCAAUCGGAGAGCGGCGGUGGACGAUGAGUGGGGGGGGGGUACUGACCAAUCGGGGAGCAGAGGUGUAAGAUGAGCGGAGUCGGUGGUUGAGUGGAGUUCGGAGUUAAGGUGGACUAAAUCAUCCAGCCAUCGAGUGAAGCUGAGAUGCCACGCGAGCAUUUGUGUGACCGAUGAGUUGUGAAGCUGAGGCGGUCAUGGAUCAAGUGUGAUGCAGGAAACAGGAGGCCUUGAUUGACCAAUAGCAGUGCAGAAACCAGGCGACAGAUUAGACCUCUUCUUACACCUGUGUCCUCCUUCAGCUGUUGCAAGGAGAGUUGGCACACAAACACACACAAACACACACACACACACACACACACUCACACAGAAACCAGGCGACAGAUUGGACCUCUUCUUACACCUGUGUCCUCCUUCAGCUGUUGCAAGGAGAGUUGGCACACACACACACCAAUGAUUUUUGUUCAUGGCUUGGGAAUGGGGAGCAAGACAUGUCGCACAGCAAAAUCCUUUGCUGACAAAACUUUCAUUCACAAGUGGCUCGCCAAAGAAGAGAGAGAUUUUUUUUUUGUACUAGAGUCACACAGUGUGUUUCUAAUGUACGUGCGAAGUCUGUGUCUGAGCUGCAAACCCAGUCACAGGGGAGAGUCACACAGUGUGUUUCUAAUGUGUACAUGUGAAAUCUGUGUCUUAAUGUAUGUCUGAAGUCUAAAUGUAUUUAUCUAAUUUAUGGGUGCGCAAUAGAAGCCCAGCCACUGGAUGUGUUGCAAUGUCUGUCUGUCUUGUCACUUAGCUUAAAUAUAUGGGGAUGGAGAAGUCAUGUGUAAAUGCAACACAAAAUAAUACAAGUUUGACUUGGGGUGGUACACAGCAGAAAGAGAAAAGUGUUUGCAUCAGGAAUAGAGGAUGAAUCUUUGUGUCGUGUGUGUGUGUGUGUGUGUGUGUGUGUGUGUGUGUGCAAAAGAAAAUGUGUGCAUAAAGGGAGGGUUUAUUUACAGCACACACACACACACACACCC